rnacentral:siRNA from 1 species
UUGGAUGGAUCAUGUGGAUGG